UACAGAGGGUGCGAGCGUUAAUCGGAAUUACUGGGCGUAAAGCGUCCGCAGGUGGCACUUCAAGUCUGUCGUCAAAGACUGGGGCUUAACCCUGGAAAGGCGGUGGAAACUGAAGCGCUAGAGUGCGGUAGGGGUAGAGGGAAUUCCCGGUGAAGCGGUGAAAUGCGUAGAUAUCGGGAAGAACGCCAACAGCGAAGGCACUCUGCUGGGCCGACACUGACACUCAGAGACGAAAGCUAGGGGAGCGAAUGGG
rnacentral:rRNA from 1 species